rnacentral:rRNA from 1 species
GACGAACGCUGGCGGCGUGCCUAAUACAUGCAAGUCGAGCGGAUGGAAGGAAGCUUGCUUCCUAAAGUCAGCGGCGGACGGGUGAGUAACACGUGGGCAACCUGCCCCAAAGAUCGGGAUAACUUCGGGAAACCGGAGCUAAUACCGGAUAUGAUUAUAUCUCACAUGAGACAUAAUGGAAAGACGGUUUCGGCUGUCACUUAGGGAUGGGCCCGCGGCGCAUUAGCUAGUUGGUGAGGUAACGGCUCACCAAGGCGACGAUGCGUAGCCGACCUGAGAGGGUGAUCGGCCACACUGGGACUGAGACACGGCCCAGACUCCUACGGGAGGCAGCAGUAGGGAAUCUUCCGCAAUGGACGAAAGUCUGACGGAGCAACGCCGCGUGAGUGAAGAAGGUUUUCGGAUCGUAAAACUCUGUUGUUAGGGAAGAACAAGUACCAUAGUAACUGAUGGUACCUUGACGGUACCUAACCAGAAAGCCACGGCUAACUACGUGCCAGCAGCCGCAGUAACAC